CACUCUGAUAUUUACAGCUGCGUAUUCGCCUGUGUCAGUUAUUGAACGUUUCACACAGUAAACCAUCGUUGUCCUCAGAUUCCCUGGAUCCCCUUGCACCUCCAUAUGUCCACCAACAGAAACAUGAUCUGAAUGAAAGAGGUCCCCUCUUCUUUCUGGGCUGUUUCAGUGUGGCCGUCGGAAUGGCUUUACUGUAUUACUACAGUGAGGAUAAAUUGACAAGCGGCAGUCGGGCUCUGGGGACGGCAGCUCUGGGUUUGAGAAAGAAAGCUCAAGAGGUUCUAAUAUGGUACAAUGAAGGAAGCCUCAUGAUGUGAGAGGUGGUUCCUUCACACCAGGU